rnacentral:tRNA from 1 species
GCCUGGGUGGCUCAGUUGGUUGGGCAUCUGACUUCAGCUCAGGUUAUUAUCUUGUGGUUUGUGAGUUCUAGCCAGGCCUCAGGCU